rnacentral:rRNA from 1 species
GUUAGGAAUAUUGGACAAUGGGCGCAAGCCUGAUCCAGCCAUGCCGCGUGAGUGAUGAAGGCCUUCGGGUUGUAAAGCUCUUUAGUCCACGAAUAUAAUGACUGUAGUGGAAGAAUAAGCCCCGGCUAACUUCGUGCCAGCAGCCGCGGUAAUACGAAGGGGGCGAGCGUUAUUCGGAAUCACUGGGCGUAAAGCGUGCGUAGGCUGUUUUGUAAGUCAGAAGUGAAAGCCCAGGGCUUAACCCUGGAAUUGCUUUUGAAACUACAAGACUCGAAUUCGGGAGAGGAUAGCGGAAUUGUCAGUGUAGCAGUGAAAUGCGUAGAUAUUGACGGGAACACCAGUGGCGCAAGCGGCUAUCUGGACCGAUAUUGACGCUGAGGCACGAAAGCGUGGGGAGCAAACAGGAUUAGAAACCCUUGUAGUCC